rnacentral:ncRNA from 2 species
AAAGUUCUUCAGGGUCGGGUGCAAGUCCCAACCGGUGGUAUAGCCCACGAGCCUUUCGCUGUAUAAGUCAGCGGGGCAUGAUUCGGUGAUCCUUCUGCAAUGGGAGCAGACGGAAACUCCGAAGCCGACAGUACAGUCUGGAUGGAAGAAGACGAUU